rnacentral:rRNA from 1 species
GAUGAACGCUGGCGGCGUGCCUAACACAUGCAAGUCGAGCGAACAGACGAGGAUCUUGCUCGUCUGACGUGAGGGGCGGGCGGGUGAGUAACAAGAGGAUAACCUACCUAUAAGACUGGGAUCAUUACGGGAAACCGGAGCUAAUACCGGAUAAUAUAUUGAACCUCGUGGUUCAUUGGUCAACGACGGUUUUGCUGUCCCUUCUAGAUGGUUCCACGCCGUAUUAGCUAGUUGGUAGGGUAACGGCGUACCAAGGCUGGGAUGCGUAGCCGACCUGAGAGGAGGAUCGGCCACACUGGAGCGGAGACACGGUCCAGACGCCUACGGGAGGCAGCAGUAGGGAAUAUUCGGCAAUGGGCGAAAGCCUGACGGAGCAACGCCGCGUGAGUGAUGAAGGUCUUCGGAUCGUAAAGCUCUUUUAUUAGGGAAGAACAAAUGUGGAAUAAACUAUGGACGUCUUGACGGUACCUAAUCAAAAAGCAACGGCUAACUACGUG